UUCUUGUUGGAUGAUGACGGUCACGUGUGUGAUGUUCUGAUUGAUCAAUGAAAACAAAGCAUUUUAUUUUUUAAGGAGUUGACAUCUAAUCACAACAUGACAGUCAUCCAAUAAGAACAUGAUGCAUGAAAGUGAACAUCA
rfam:Glycine soja cultivar W05 scaffold4038_22, whole genome shotgun sequence.